AGUGAACGCUGGCGGUAGGCCUAACACAUGCAAGUCGAACGGCAGCACAGUAAGAGCUUGCUCUUACGGGUGGCGAGUGGCGGACGGGUGAGGAAUACAUCGGAAUCUACUUUUUCGUGGGGGAUAACGUAGGGAAACUUACGCUAAUACCGCAUACGACCUACGGGUGAAAGCAGGGGAUCUUCGGACCUUGCGCGAUUGAAUGAGCCGAUGUCGGAUUAGCUAGUUGGCGGGGUAAAGGCCCACCAAGGCGACGAUCCGUAGCUGGUCUGAGAGGAUGAUCAGCGCCACUGGAGGUGAGCGACGGCCCAGACACCUACGGGCGGCAGAAACGCGGAAUGUUGGAAACUGGGGGCAAGCCUGCGCCAGCCACACCGCGUGGGUGAAGAAGGGCUUCGGGUUGUAAAGCCGUUUUGUUGGGAAAGAAAAGCAGCAGGAUAAUCCCCCGCUGUUCUGACGGUACCCGAAGAAUAAGCACCGGCUAACUUCGUG
rnacentral:rRNA from 1 species